GUCCCGCGUCCCUCGAACACUCUGAAACGCGCUCCUCAGUUAAGGAGCCGAGAUACGUCUGCAGGACAGCUCAGCGGCGGCUGUCGGCAGUGGCAAUUGAAACACAUUUUUACAACUCCCCGUUCAUGUCAUUAACCCUGGCAAGUGGCAUGUAUCGGUGCACACGUGGGCAGGCGCCCAGCCUGGGAGCAGUACCGGUGAGCCCCGGGUCGCACCGGCGCUGCCGGCCCGGGGCGCUCCGUGGCGGCGGCGGACGAGCGCCCCGCGCGGUGCGGCACGGCCGCCUGUCCGGGACUACAGCUCCCAGCAGGCCGUGCGCCAGGCGGCCCCGGCGGCGGAAGCGCCGGGCGGGGCCGGGCCGGGCCGGGGGCUGUGGGGCCAUGGCGGGCCGCGGGUCCGCGUCCUCGGAGCACCUGGAGCGGCUGCACGAGAUCUUCCGCGGGCUGCACGGGGACCUGCGGGGCGUCCCCGAGCGGCUGCGGGGCAGCGCGGCCGAGGAGAAGAAAAAGCUGGUUCGAGAAUUUGAUGAGAAGCAGCGUGAAGCCAACGAGACGCUGCGGGAAAUGGAGGAAGAGCUGAAGUACGCUCCUGUGCCUUUCCGCAACCAAAUGAUGAGCAAAAUCCGAGCCUACAGGAGAGACCUGUCCAUGUUCCAGAGGGAGAUGAGAAGCACAGAUUUGGGGUUGGGCCGUGGAAACCAAGGCGAUACAAAAUAUGGAAUCUUUGCCACAGAAAAUGAACAGAGUACUAACCUGCAGUCCCAGAGGGUGCUGCUUCUCCAGGGCACAGACAGCCUGAACCGAGCCAGCGAGAGCAUCGAGCGCUCGCACCGAAUCGCUGCUGAAACCGACCAGAUUGGCACGGACAUCAUCGAGGAGCUCGGGGAGCAGCGGGAGCAGCUGGAGCGCACCAAGAGCAGGUUGGUGAAUACAAGUGAGAACUUGAGCAAGAGUCGCAAGAUUCUGCGCUCGAUGUCUCGGAGAAUAACCACAAAUAAGUUGCUGCUGUCAAUUAUCAUCAUCCUGGAACUGGCCAUCCUAGGAGGUGUGGUCUACUUCAAGUUCUUUCGCAAGAAAUGAACCUUCAUGACCAAGAUGAGCUUUUCCACUGAUGAGGAAUAGGAUGGGCUAUCUGCUCCCUUUGCCUGUCUGAGGGUUGAACUGAGUCAUGAGACAGCACAUUCAACUGAAACUGUACUGACACUUGAAAGACAGAGAAUGGGAGUAAAAAGAAACAGGCUUGAACUACUGAAAGCCAGGGUGAAGGCUGAAACACUGAUGUGCAUGGCAGCUAGGAUGGAGGAAGCACCGAGCUCAAGGAUUUACUGACAGUUCAUCAAGAUGAGCAUUUUUCAGGUCAAUACUUAAAGGCUGUGUCCAAUCCCUGCCAUGUAGCCUAACUGCUGAAGUAGUAAAGGAUAAUCUCAAACCUAAAAUGUUAGUUACUUACUAUAGCAUCUACCAGCUGAUGACAGCUUAAUAAACUGGACCCUGCUUGUCACUCACAUGAAUUAUUUAAGUGGCAGACUGCAUACUUCCAACAUACUGCAGAUGCACAGUAAGGAGAAGCAUCUGGAUUAUCAUCUCCUUUACUUGGCACAGCUGCAGCUAGGAAGGGUGAGCACACCUUGAGAAAACAGCAGCAUGCAGUUCAUGUUCUAACCUGUGGGAGAGGUUACCCUUUCUAAGUGACCCUCUCCCAGCUCCUAGCGUGACUUCCCCAAACUUGAGCAAGGGUCACAAAGGUGGCAGUAGUGAACUGCAGUAAGGGAGUGGUUAAAGUGAGCACUGCACUGGCAGCCACCAUCAGGACAUUGUGUGUGAGCAGUCCAAGGAGGAAGCCAUCAAAUGCUUCCACUUCCUAUACCAACAGCUCAUUUCAAGUUACUGCCAAAGUUGCUGUAUGUAUUUUUAAAAAUAUAAUGUGUAUCCUGCACUCUGAGCUGAUUCAAACAUCUUGUCAAGCUGCAGAAAAUGCAGAAUUACUUAACAGAACCAAACAGUAUAAAACGGAGCCACAGCUGUAGUGAGUUGUAACCUGUCCCAGCCUUCUGCAAACACUGAAAUGGCUCCAGUGCUCAGACUUCCCUGUAUCCUGGACACUGUCACAGUUCUGUAGGGCCGCCUUACAUCAAGUGACCUGCACUUAAAUAACUUUCAGGAAAGCAGAUGUUCAACAAGAGCAGUUUAAAUUAGAUAAUAGUUCAUUACCUGCCCAUCAGUCGUUCAAAGGUUCUUUCCAUAACUUUUUGAAUUCCAAGGCGAUCGAUAUCCCUCAUGGAAAAAUACUGGAUAUCAAAGUUUUUCAAAAUAUAGCUGUGAAAAUAAUUUUUUUAAAUUAAACAAUCAUUAUUGGUUUAAGCUGAAAUCCAGCAAUUCUUAUGGAUGUGACGUUCAGCUUAUUAUUUCAGCCUUUACAAAAAUAGUUUAAUCUAAACCAACUUACUACUCAGCAGGAUCCACAUCCCUCAAACCAAUGUACACAAUAUCAGAUGCUGAAAGGCAGGGCUUUAGCCAGGAAAAGCCAGGAAGUUGUGGUACCUACAGAGAAAGGUUUGGUAUUAGAUCAGUUAAAUGACAUACUUCACAAAAUGCUAUUCAAUGCUUCCCUGAAAAUUUUGUAUUGAUUUAUAGCAUCCUUUCUUUCUCUAAAUAGAGGAACUUCUGCUCUUGAGGGUUUGGCUUUAUGUAAUCAGUCCUUACCUUCAUUCCUAUGUUCAACUCAGGUAAAGUGAUAUGACUGUAGCUUAUUAUUUAUAUGAGUUGAAUGUUAAUGGAUGAAGUUUUUAACUCUUCUCCAUUUUCCAGUUUGAAGAGGAGAAGGACUAAAAAGCCUGAAUUCAUGAGCAAUAGGUAACUUGCAUCUGUGAGUGUAAGGAGGAAUGCUGAAUGGAUACCCAGAUGUAGAUCACUUACACAGGGCACUUAAUGGUGAUGCUCUGUGACUUACCCAGUACAUUAUGCUUUGGUGGAAGAAUGAAAACCAAGGCAGCUGUAUCUUUUCAGGAGAACUAUCAAAGUCAUGAAACUUACAAAAACAGUAUUAAAGAUGUAUAAAUUCAAAGUGGGAAGUUGAAAAAAAGAAAAAAUAAAAGAGGGGGGGAAAGCAGGGCAAGAAGUUGGGCCUCCACAGUGGGCUACAUCAUGCUGGAUUUUGAUGUAGAAUUGAAGAGAGUAGGUUUAGGACAGCAACUGAAAGAUUAUGAAGUCAUCAUUUUUCAGCUUUGGUAAUUAAAUAGUCAUGGUAUGGAAUUAUAAAACCUUUCAGUUAGUAAUACCUACUAAUUUUAAGAGUGAUUUAAAUUAAGUCAAAUUUCUCUUAUUCUCCUAGCUCUGAAAAUGGCUACAGCCAACACAGCUGUCAGGUGGCUAGAAAGUUUUGUUUCCCUCUUAGACUUCUCAAUUACUAAUUAUUCUAAUUCCAAUAGUGGAUGUUUUUAAAGGUGAACACACCCAUAGCUAUAUUUAAUUACAUUGGGUUAAAUUAGCACAGAUUAUAAAGUAUUUGCUACUCUAAGACAAUGACCUGAAACUUCUCCAGUCAUAAAUUAAGAAGAGGGAUAAAUGAAUAGGAGAUCACUAGGAAAAAUAAAUUCCGGUUUCGAAAAUUAAUUAUGCAAAAUUCAUCAUCCCCACAUCAUAAACUGAGCAUAGUAAUGAUAACAUUAUCAGAUACUCUCUAGUAUUAAUGAUUCAGUAGAUUUAAUACUGCAAUUUCAAUUACACCUCUUUGUAAAUAAAUAAAAUUGAAUGUAUUAAUUGCC